UGACUUUUUCCACUUCUUAUUUUCUUAAUAUUUUUGAAAUUUUGACCACUUAACUCUAGUACCCCAACCCCAAACUUAUAACUUUGCUCAUUUCCAAGAGCAACCCCAAACAUAAUAUUUUUCAUUCAACUUUAAGAAUCAAAAUUUUACCUUACUCCAAAGAGAGGGUUGAAAGAAAGAAUCAUUCAAAUCAAAUGGUUAAGAGUUGUAGGCUACGUCACCGAAAG
rnacentral:lncRNA from 1 species